GUGCGGUAAAAUUCGAAUCGCCUAAAAGUUUUAUACAUUCGAUCGCGUGUCAAAACUUGAGAAAUAAAAGACUCCCGCGGUCAGUUUGCCACCCCCCAUCCAGAUGACUGGCGAGCUGUUUAAAAAAACCUUAUUCCAGUGUUAUAUGUACAUUCUGGAACUGGGUGGUGGUGUGUGUAACAAUGAAAAGGUAGUUGGCAACUUUGCAACAAGACAUUUCUAGCCUUUAUUGUCCACACACGCCCCCCGGGUAGGAAAUGUUGAUGGGCAAUACGUGGCGAGAAUGUGAAAAUGUUAUGGCACUGCACAGCCAACUCGUCGGCGUGAUCGUUCAAUAAAGAACGCGUGAAAAUCCUUGUGUGUGGGGAGGGAUUAACUGUUAAGGUCGUAGAAUUCCAAAGGGGCGGAAACCUAGAAAAAAAGAGAAAAAAUGUUAACGAGUUACAUAUUCUGCCAAAAGGGAUUUAACAAAAGAAAACAUGACGUCAAGUGUGAACGCUUCGAUGAAAAAGGCGUCAGCAUUAUUGAUUGUGCUGGCAAACGCACCCAGAGGGGGGCAUUCCGACAGUUUUUCCCCGAAGACAAAUGGACACGGAUGACGAAUCAUCGUUCAUUUUUCCUCGGAUUCUUUCACGUUUGAAAUUUUUUGAGUUGAUUUCAGUUUUAUUUGUUCCCGCCAGCAUAUUACAGGUAUUAAACACACGGGGGCUGGGGCAGUUGCUCGGUGAUGAAA